AACGCAUACAUAUUAAUUCAUUAAUAAAUAAGAAAUAUUCUAUUCCAAACAAAACGCGAAAAAACUUGUUUUAGAUUAGGAUUCGUUUGAAAACCUUCAAAGAAUUGGUGCACCAAGGAGGUAUAACCUCCAAUUUCACUUUCGUCAAUCUACUAGAACGUUGCAUCAGCCAAAGGCUGGUUCAAAAUGAAAUGAUACCACCUCUGUCCCAGAGACUACGUGGGAAAGGUACAGUGGUAGCAGCCAGUAGAUGGAGGGGACUGACAUCGGUUGCGACUUCUGAUGAAAUGGGAGAGACCACGUUUUGCCGUUGGCGCUGUGACAAGUUCAAUCUUGAAAAAACUACUUAUUGCACGAUGAAGCAUAACCUAGAUAAGAAAACCUGGCUAUACAGAUAUCACCAUCCCAAGCGAUUCC